CUGCGAAUGGCUCAUUAAAUCAGUUAUCGUUUAUUUGAUAGUACCUUACUACUGGAUAACUCGUGGUAAUUCUAGAGCUAAUACAUGCUAAAAAUCCCGACCUCUGGAAGGGAUGUAUUUAUUAGAUAAAAAACCAAUGGCUUCGGCCUCCUUGGUGAUUCAUGAUAACUUAACGAAUCGCAUGGCCUUGUGCCGGCGAUGGUUCAUUCAAAUUUCUGCCCUAUCAACUUUCGAUGGUAGGAUAGUGGCCUACCAUGGUUUCAACGGGUAACGGGGAAUUAGGGUUCUAUUCCGGAGAGGGAGCCUGAGAAACGGCUACCACAUCCAAGGAAGGCAGCAGGCGCGCAAAUUACCCAAUCCCGACACGGGGAGGUAGUGACAAUAAAUACUGAUACAGGGCCCUUUCGGGUCUUGUAAUUGGAAUGAGUACAAUUUAAAUCCCUUAACGAGGAACAAUUGGAGGGCAAGUCUGGUGCCAGCAGCCGCGGUAAUUCCAGCUCCAAUAGCGUAUAUUAAAGUUGUUGCAGUUAAAAAGCUCGUAGUUGAACCUUGGGUCUGGCUGGCCGGUCUGCCUCACCGCAUGCACUGGUCCGGCCGGACCUUUCCUUCUGGCUAACCUCAUGCCCUUUACUGGGUGUGUUGGGGAACCAGGACUUUUUACUUUGAAAAAAUUAGAGUGUUCAAAGCAGGCAUUUGCUCGAAUACAUUAGCAUGGAAUAAUAGAAUAGGACGUGCGGUUCUAUUUUGUUGGUUUCUAGGAUCGUCGUAAUGAUUAAUAGGGAUAGUCGGGGGCAUCCGUAUUCAAUUGUCAGAGGUGAAAUUCUUGGAUUUAUUGAAGACGAACUACUGCGAAAGCAUUUGCCAAGGAUGUUUUCAUUAAUCAGGAACGAAAGUUGAGGGAUCGAAGACGAUCAGAUACCGUCGUAGUCUCAACCAUAAACUAUGCCGACUAGGGAUCGGGCGAUGUACUAUUCGUGACUCGCUCGGCACCUUACGAGAAAUCAAAGCUUUGGGUCUGGGGGA
rnacentral:rRNA from 1 species